GAUGAACGCUGGCGGCGGGCCUAAUACAUGCAAGUCGAGCGGACAGAUGAGGAUUGUGCUCCGCUUACGUGAGCGGCGGACGGGUGAGUAACACGUGUAUAACCUGCCUUUGAGACUGGGAUAACUUCGGGAAACCGGAUCCAAUAUCGGACAAUAUAGUGAACCGCAUGGUUCAAUAGUCAAAGCGCGUUUUGCUGUCACUUAUACAUGGAUCCGCGCCGGAUUAGCUAGUUGGUAAGGUAACGGCUUACCAAGGCAACGAUGCGUAGCCGACCUGAGAGGGUGAUCAGCCACACUGGAACUGAGACACGGUCCAGACUCCUACGGGAGGCAGCAGUAGGGAAUAUUGCGCAAUGGGCGAAAGCCUGACGGAGCAACGCCGCGUGAGUGAUGAAGGUCUUCGGAUCGUAAAACUCUUUUAUUAGGGAAGAACAAAUGUGUGAGUAACUCUGCCCGUCUUGACGGUACCUACUCAGAAAGCCACGGCUAACUACGUG
rnacentral:rRNA from 1 species